rnacentral:rRNA from 1 species
UACGUAGGGGGCAAGCGUUAUCCAGAUUUACUGGGCGUAAAGCGCGUGUAGGCGGUGCGGUAAGUCUGCAGUGAAAUCUCUGGGCUCAACUCAGAGUCUGCUGUGGAAACUGCCGUGCUUGAGUGUGGGAGAGGUGAGUGGAAUUCCCGGUGGAGCGGUGAAAUGCAUUGAGAUCGGAAGGAACGCCCGUGGCGAAAGCGAGGUCCUGGACGCCUACUGACGCUGAGACGCGAAAGCCAGGGGAGCGAACGGG